rnacentral:lncRNA from 1 species
GUCACGUAUUUAUCGACUCAUUUUUAUUUAUUAUAGUAUUUACUUGUCAGGCACUUAGGCCAAAAAAACACGUCUUAAUCUCACUGACUAAGGUUUUUAUUCUUAAAUUGAAAUCGGAGUAAACCAACAACACGAUUAGUCAGUUUUAUCCAUGUCACCCACAAUCACGUGUGGGUCCUAUGCAGAAACACUUUCAUCUUUUCUUCUCCGGUCUCGAAGCAACCAGCAAGCCGAUUUCGCCGCGCUCCGACGAUAAAAGAAGUCAACAAUCUCCGGAUUGUUACCAAAAAUGGAUCACUCUUAUCGGUACCUACUCUCACAAAUCCUAAUCACUUUCCUCAUCUUUAUCCUCGUCCAUUCUUUCUUUCUUUCCGCCCAAUCUACUAAUUCACCUUCCCGUAGGUUUCACUUCCCCCUCCCUCCUCCUCCUCCUCCUCCUUCUCCUCCUCUUCCUCCUCCUCCUCCUUUUCCUCCUCCUCCUUUUCCAGUUCAGAAACACGAUGAUAGCAAAAGAGGGGUGAGCCAUGGAGAGGCGGUGGGGUUGGUGUUCAUCGUGAUUGGGUUUUCCAUGCAGUUCGUUUUCGUUUCGUUUUUGGUGUAUCAGAGGAGGAGGAUUUGGAGUCUCGCCCAUCGAAAUGAUCCAUCUCCUUCCCCGGAAUCAACUUCGCGAUCUGCUUCUGCUUGAUUUACUACUACUUUUUCGAAGGAUUUGGAAGAUAACAACUUAACUGUUUUGAUACUGCACAAAUACACAAUCUCAGAUUCCCAAACAGUGAUUGCUAUUUUGCAAAUAGGUAAAUACUUUGUUCUCUGUUUAUCUAUCUAUCUAUUCAUUAUCAUCUCUAUACAUCUGUCUAUAUGAUAAAUCAUUUGUUACAAUUUUGAAUACUUGCCUAUCUAUUUAAUUUUGUUACUUGUGGUGAUUUCAGAACACCAUCAAUUAUCUGUAAAUCAUUGAACACCAUCAUCCAUGAUGGGGGUUUGAAUUCAGAAGUCUGGAUUUCUAUACAUAUAUUAUUCGAAUUUUGGGUUUGUUUUAGAUUUUGAAAAUUAAGAUUCCUAGGAUAUUUAUACCUAAAAAGUUGCUUGGUCCAGAGUCCAGAGUUUUUUUUAAUCUUUGUUCCCUUUGUGGGAUUGAAAGAAUGGGCCUCUGGCACAUGGAACCCUAUUCUUUCUGUUCUUUAGGUUAGGUUUCAGUUCAGAUUUCAGAUCAAAUCAGAUAGGACAAAAACAGACUCUAGUGAAAGAAGAUUUCAUUUCGUCAUCACAUACAUACUUAAGACUUGGUUAGACACUAUACAUCCCAUCAAGAACAUGACAGCAACAAAACCUAAGAAUAGAAUGGAGAAUCAAAUAGAUAGAUAAGUACUGACAUAACAUAACGUAGAUAGAGAGAUAAAUUACAUUCAUAAUCCAUUUUCACUUGUUAUUUAGUUGAUAGAUCAGUUAAAGAUUGGAGUUGAAAUGGAGAGUUGGGUAUUGGAGAAAGAUGAUUCCUUCUCAUUGCUGUCAUGUUGGUCCUUGGAAGCAGCCUCAAGCAACUUGAAAUCUGCACCAAGCACAAAGCAGUGUUGUUGGUGCUGCUUCUCCUCCUCUACCUGACCAGUCACCAUGUAUCCUUCUUUGGUCAGAUUUGCGGUUGUAUAGCAGUCUUGCUGUUGUUGAUGAAGAUAAGUUGAAGAUGGCGGGGAUCCCAUUCCUAGAGGUGUGAAACUCAAGGAACCACUGAAUCUCUCAGUUUCUUCUCCCUCUAUUCCAUGAAAAUACCUGUUUUUGUGUGUGUGUUAGUCAAAUGAAACCAGAACUAAAGUAAUUAAUAAACAAUACUGAAGUUCAAUAUUGAUUAAGUACAUGGCAUACCUCAGAUCUCUUUCAGACUUUUCAGUGGAGGUGGAAGCAGAACCAGGAGAAGGUCUAGGGUAGCAGUAUGGAUAGAAUGGCAGGUGGGUAUUGGUGGUUGUGUUUUCCAUGGAAGAAAUAGAAACUUUGUGGUUGGUGUUGGUGUUGUUUCUAGGAGUUUCCACAGGCUUUCUUGAACGACUCUUGCCUCUAAGCAUGUGCCUCUCACAAUACUUGGAAUCUGGAUGUGCUGCCUUGGAACACCUCCAUUUCUUCCCAUCUGUUCUCCUGCAUCUUCCUGGCUCUGGGUCUUCCACUUUUCUCCCAUACCCCCAUCCUACUUCAAAGUUGAAAACAAAACAACAACAAUAAGAAUAAUAAGAAGAAAUAAGAGUGCAUGCAAUCUAUCUAUCCAUUAUAUAUAUAUAUAUAUCUUACUUGUGUUGUUGUUAGGGUGUUGGUGAGGGGAGAAGAUGGACGAUGAUACUGAAGAAGAGAUGGAGUCCAAGAGGAUACUUCUUCUCAUGUGAAGUACGAGGUCAGAAGGAAUGGGGAGACCGGAUGCCAUGCACUUGAAAAUGAUAGCUUGGUUUUCCAACUCCAUCCACUGAGUUGCUGUGAAUGGAUACCUGUUUUGUUUUCCAUUCAUCACCAUGAUAUCUAUCUUUCUUUCUAUAUCUCUGUUAAACGUCCCUAGAAGAAGAUAGAUAGAAAGAACCAAACACCCAUAUAUUGUUUCUUACAUGGAUGGUGAUGGUUUUAAUAACAUAGAUUAGCAGGGAAAGUUGUGCCCUAGGUAAUAGCUACAUUAAGUCAUUAAUAACAAGUCAGUAGUUGUUGUAUCUGGGAAAUGUCAGUCAAGUAAGAAGAAGCUGCAGAAUCUUCUCUACUUGUGUUUGCAUGGAAAUUAGAUUGACAGAUAGAUGAUAAAUAAAUUUAAAAAAAAACCCACCCACCUACCCACCUAUAAUCAUGUGCUUUGUGGUUGGGCUGGUUGGUAAUGCUUCUGCUUUUCUGCUCUCUGUUAUUAUGAAUAUUAUGAGAGCAUUAUGAUUUGUGAUGAGUGUGAUGGACUGAUGGGGGCAAGAAAUUCAGAAGUUAGUCAGAUCAGACUGCAAUGUCCCCUGUUUGAACAAACCCACAAUCCACAAUCCAAAUCCAAUGAAUUUGUUGUUUUGGGUUGUUGGUGGUACGAGGCUAACAAAAUAUUACUCCAAUGUCGCAUUCAAACAUCACUGAAAUGUGAAUUACUGUGAUUAGUCUGAUGUUGAUGUGACCAUUCCUGUAUUCUUUCUCACUUUCUGCUCAACCUCUUACAUCUUACUGUUUCCACUUACACUACUUUAAUCACCAAACACUCCCAAAAGUAAGUCAAAAAAAAUAUAUACUUAACUUUUCAUUCUUUCUCAACUUAGUUUACUAAUUUGCAACCAAUCAACUGUGUUUCAAAGUUCAAACCAACCUAGCUUGCUGUUAUCCAGACCAGUUCAACGUUUUCAAACUAUCUCGGAAUGUGGUCAUCUGACCAAUCACCAUUCAACACUUUCUUCUUCUUCUUCUCCUCUUCCAGUCUUAACUAACAUCAUCAUUUCAUUCUUGGAACCAUCAGGGUGGUGGGUUAUGCAGUAUGCUGCUCACUUACUCACUAUUCAUUUCUCUUCUUUAUUGCCGGACGGACUAGUUAUCAGUGACCACCACAGCAACCUCAGCCUUGUGUCACUUCUUUCCUUUAGUUCUAAUAUUUCCUGUCUCAUACUUUUAUCUUAUUUUCUUCAGCCUGGUUCAGUGGUUCAGAACUUCAGCAUUGGCUAUUCAUUUUCAUAAUAUUAAAAUAUAUUUUUUCAGAAUCCGGCCCAACUUAAUCCAGCCCAGAAAGCCCAAUUCUGUAAAUGUUAAAAAUAAACUUUUAUUAUCAUCACCCAGGCCUCCAAGGCCCAACUGUUAGAACGUAACAGAAAGUAGUGGUAACUGGUAACAAAAAAAAGUACCGAUGAAUCGUAGAAUAGUCCGGUACCGGUGCCGGUACCGGUGAGGAUGAUAAUCCACGAUCAUCUAAGAAGUCUUUGUGCUGCGAAAAUCCUUCUUUAACUCUGCAACACGUUUGAGGCAAAGUGUCUUGGAUUUUCCGGGAACAGCAGCCUCGAUCUUCUCCCACCUCAUCGGUGUAUCCUUUGGAAACGAUUUCAGGGCGUUAAGAAGUGCGAUGUCCUCACCGGAACUCCAAAGAAAACUCCCAGUAGUAAUGUCUAGAUUGUCGUUUGAAUGUUCAAUGCCUUCUUCCACUACUCUCUUGUCCACAGGUUUCCUUUGCUUAAGAAACUGCGCAAAUGAGUCGCCUAUCAUUCCCUGUUUCCUCUCAGACAAUGACUUGCCUGCUUUCACCACGCUCUCCACUCCGUGCCUUCCUUCGAAAACUUCCGCGAUUAUCUCCCAACGCCGAGGUGUUCCUACUGGCCUCUUCCCGAUCUGCUUCUUCAAGAUCUGGUAAUCCGCCUCCGUCCACUGCUCCUCCUCAAGCACCAUGGGAGAUGUACCUCCUCCAUCAGGUUUCGUUUUAUUUAAUUCUGGUUUCUUCAAAUCCGUCGAAACAAGCGACGGGGCAGGAGCAGAAGCAGGAGCAGGUUGGUAAUCGGAUCGUUUAGAUCUACGGAACUUCUUGUUGUCCCGAUCCUCAACCUGAUCCAUCUCAUUCAGAUCUGAAUGGUCCACGAUCUCCUCUUCCAGAAUCUCACCUCGUCCAACGUGAACAUCUCCCCCGGUUAACGACACGGGAGCGAAAGGGCCGACGAGGAGGGAGACGGAGAGCCAUACGAAGAGAGAAUUGAGAAAUUGGAAAGACGCGAGGUAAUAGAAUGCAAAGAACAUAAGCAGGGAUGAUGCUAAAAAACAUAAAAUUGCGGCGAGCUUCGUCGUCUUUAUCAGAGUUUUGGGCUCAACGGAAGCCGCGGUGGCGGAAGAGCGGGAGUGGAAUUGAAUGGACGGUCUUGCCUCAUCAAAAAACUCCAUUUUUUUUCUUUUCUUUUUUAAUUCCACUCUCACCUUUCCCGAUUUCCACUUCCAGUAAGGGUGAUAUGACGACAAUCGAGUUGGGUCGGGUCGGGUCGGAUGUUUAUUUUUUCGACUAUAAAUUUAAUUUCGACCCGGUGUCCGGUCAUUUUUCGGAUCAGCAUAAAUGUUAAGGAUUCUUAAAUGGUCAAUCAUAAACUCGAUCCACCUUUUAAAACUAAUCAUUUCUUUUAUAAAAACCAAGACUUCAACUAGGGAUGGCUACGAGUAUAUCUAUGUGGCUCAGAUCUAGUAAUCCUAGCUUCGUAUCUACUUUCAAAUUCAAUAUCAAAUACGAUAUAUGUCUCGUUAAAAUCUGAAUUGAUUUAAUAAUAUCUAACGAAGUUUCAAGGAGGAUCAUAUCCUUGGAGGCCACCUUCCCUCUGAUGGGGAUCAUCCUUUCAGGGCCCACCCUACUCUAUGGAGGUCGAAGACGGUCGAGUUAUCGACAAUGAAGAGAAAACUUCCUUUGAAACUCUCUUUCGUUGAGCCAUUGAAGAUCGACAGUAGGUCACACGUUGUGAUUGGAAAGGAUCUGCUGGAAGAAGCUACUGGAAACGCUAAUGUUGUAUUGUUACAUUUCUACAGGAAACCCACGUCAACCAGAAGCAUAAAUCGAUGGAUCAGGAACAAAUGAAAAACGUCGGCACCAUUCAGAUCAGAGAAGAGAGAAACCUACUGUUUCGUAAUAUAUUAGAGGAUCUCAUGGAGGCAUCGAUUACUAUUCCAAGGGGCCUACUCUGCAAUAUCAUUCAUUAGAUCUUCAUUCAAUGGUUUUUUUGAUUCCUUACCAGAGUCUAAUAAUUAUUUUCUAAAACUUUCUUUGGUUUGUCUUUUUCCUCUUGUAAAAUUCUUUUUAGAUUUCUAUUUCUUUUUGUUCAAAGAUUAGAAAUAGAUUUUUUUUUGUAUCAUCUUUUUAACUUAUG